GGAAUAUUGGUCAAUGGGCGGGAGCCUGAACCAGCCAAGUCGCGUGAGGGACGACGGUCCUAUGGAUUGUAAACCUCUUUUGUCGGGGAACAAAGGUGCCCACGGGUGGGCGGAUGAGUGUACCCGAAGAAAAAGCACCGGCUAACUCCGUGUCAGCAGCCGCGGUAAUACGAAGGAUGCGAGCGUUAUCCGGAUUCAUUGGGUUUAAAGGGUGCGUAGGCGGACAGUCAAGUCAGCGGUAAAAAUGCGGUGCUCAACGCCGUACAGCCGUUGAAACUGGCAGUCUUGAGUGGGCGAGAAGUAUGCGGAAUGCGUGGUGUAGCGGUGAAAUGCAUAGAUAUCACGCAGAACUCCGAUUGCGAAGGCAGCAUGCCGGCGCCCAACUGACGCUGAAGCACGAAAGCGUGGGUAUCG
rnacentral:rRNA from 1 species